GUAGGUGAACCUGCGGAAGGAUCAUUAUCACGUAUCCACGUAUAAACCAUUGCGAACUGUUUUUCACCUUUGUGAGGGAAAAAGGAAGAUAGGAGGAUAGCAAUUGAAUCCUGUUUCUCUUUUUUUACUCACAAAGCGUAUAACCUUUAUAUUAACCAUUUUAACAAAUCUUUAUAACUUUAUGAACUAAUUUUUAUUUUAUACUCUUCGGAGAUAAAAUUCAUUACGAAACAAAGAACAACUCUUAGCA
rnacentral:misc_RNA from 1 species